rnacentral:rRNA from 1 species
GAUGAACGCUGGCGGCGUGCCUAAUACAUGCAAGUCGAGCGAACAGACGAGGAGCUUGCUCCUCUGACGUUAGCGGCGGACGGGUGAGUAACACGUGGAUAACCUACCUAUAAGACUGGGAUAACUUCGGGAAACCGGAGCUAAUACCGGAUAAUAUGUUGAACCGCAUGGUUUAACAGUGAAAGACGGUCUUGCUGUCACUUAUAGAUGGAUCCGCGCCGCAUUAGCUAGUUGGUAAGGUAACGGCUUACCAAGGCAACGAUGCGUAGCCGACCUGAGAGGAUGAUCGGCCACACUGGAACUGAGACACGGUCCAGACUCCUACGGGAGGCAGCAGUAGGGAAUCUUCCGCAAUGGGCGAAAGCCUGACGGAGCAACGCCGCGUGAGUGAAGAAGGUCUUCGGAUCGUAAAACUCUGUUAUUAGGGAAGAACAAAUGUAUAAGUAACUAUGCACGUCUUGACGGUACCUAAUCAGAAAGCCACGGCUAACUACGUG